rnacentral:lncRNA from 1 species
GCUGGUCGAAUCUGGUGCGAUUAUUUAGUUAUGAUUCUCAGGAUCGAGCGGUUACAUCUGCAAGAUUUUUAGGAUUAGACGGUUGCAUCCAGAUAAGAUUGACAGCUAUGGUCAAUUGGUGCCUACCUUUUGAACCUGAGCCUAGUCAAUCUGAUUUCGAGGAGAGAUCAAAGAGUAUGAUGUGCCGACUAAGGCUCGGAGCCAGUUGCCGGCCGAUUAGGAGUUGAGACUGAUAGUUUUCCGACUAAGGCUCGAUUAGAUGGAU